GCAUCGGUGGUUCAGUGGUAGAAUGCACGCCUGCCACGCGGGCGGCCCGGGUUCGAUUCCCAGCCGAUGCA
rnacentral:tRNA from 1 species